AUCUGGAUGACGAGUCCCGAAUAGGACGAAAUCCACAUCCUGGAU
rfam:Trichobilharzia regenti genome assembly, scaffold: TRE_scaffold0027043